GAUGCAACGCGAAAAACCUUACCUACCCUUGACAUGUCUAGAAGUUUCCAGAGAUGGAUUCGUGCUCGAAAGAGAACUAGAACACAGGUGCUGCAUGGCCGUCGUCAGCUCGUGUCGUGAGAUGUUGGGUUAAGCCCCGCAACGAGCGCAACCCUUAUCAUUAGUUGCUACGCAAGGGCACUCUAAUGAGACUGCCGGUGACAAACCGGAGGAAGGUGGGGAUGACGUCAGGUCAUCAUGGCCCUUAUGGGUAGGGCUACACACGUCAUACAAUGGCCGGUACAGAGGGCUGCCAACCCGCGAGGGGGAGCUAAUCUCAGAAAACCGGUCGUAGUCCGGAUCGCAGUCUGCAACUCGACUGCGUGAAGUCGGAAUCGCUAGUAAUCGCGGAUCAGCUUGCCGCGGUGAAUACGUUCCCGGGUCUUGUACACACCGCCCGUCACACCAUGGGAGCGGGUUCUGCCAGAAGUAGUUAGCCUAACCGCAAGGAGGGCGAUUACCACGGCAGGGUUCGUGACUGGGGUGAAGUCGUAACAAGGUAACCGU
rnacentral:rRNA from 1 species